UACAGAGGUCUCAAGCGUUGCUCGGAAUUACUGGGCGUAAAGCGCGUGUAGGCGGUGCCGCACGUCCGAUGUGAAAGCCCGGGGCUCAACCCCGGACGUGCAUUGGAUACGACGGCGCUGGAGUCCUGAAGAGGAGGGCGGAAUUCCCGGUGUAGAGGUGAAAUUCGUAGAUAUCGGGAGGAACACCAGUGGCGAAGGCGGCUCUCUGGACAGGUACUGACGCUGAGACGCGAAAGCGUGGGUAGCAAACAGG
rnacentral:rRNA from 1 species